AGAGUUUGAUCAUGGCUCAGGAUGAACGCUAGCGGCAGGCUUAAUACAUGCAAGUCGAGGGGCAGCAUGGUGCAGCAAUACACUGAUGGCGACCGGCAAACGGGUGCGGAACACGUACAGAACCUUCCUUCAAGCGGGGAAUAGCCCAGAGAAAUUUGGAUUAAUACCCCAUAGUAUAUCGAUUAGGCAUCUUUUUGAUAUUAAAGAUUUAUCACUUGAAGAUGGCUGUGCGGCUGAUUAGGUAGUUGGCGGGGUAACGGCCCACCAAGCCUACGAUCAGUAACUGGUGUGAGAGCACGACCAGUCACACGGGCACUGAGACACGGGCCCGACUCCUACGGGAGGCAGCAGUAAGGAAUAUUGGUCAAUGGACGAAAGUCUGAACCAGCCAUGCCGCGUGGAGGAUGAAGGUCCUCUGGAUUGUAAACUUCUUUUAUCUGGGACGAAAAAAGGUCUUUCUAGAUCGUCUGACGGUACCAGAUGAAUAAGCACCGGCUAACUCCGUGCCAGCAGCCGCGGUAAUACGGAGGGUGCAAGCGUUAUCCGGAUUCACUGGGUUUAAAGGGUGCGUAGGUGGGUUGGUAAGUCAGUGGUGAAAUCCCCGAGCUUAACUUGGGAACUGCCAUUGAUACUAUCAGUCUUGAAUACCGUGGAGGUCAGCGGAAUAUGUCAUGUA
rnacentral:rRNA from 1 species